rnacentral:rRNA from 1 species
GACGUAGGGGGCCAGCGUUGUUCGGAAUUACUGGGUGUAAAGGGCGCGUAGGCGGCCAGCACAAGUCAGUUGUGAAAUCUCCGGGCUUAACUCGGAAAGGUCAACUGAUACUGUGCGACUAGAGUGCAGAAGGGGCAACUGGAAUUCUCGGUGUAGCGGUGAAAUGCGCAGAUAUCAGGAAGAACACCCGUGGCGAAGGCGGCUCUCUGGUACGUGACUGACGCUGAGACGCGAAAGCCAGGGGAGCAAACGGG